ACUGGGGCUCAAGUCUCUCUGGCUGUUAAAUCGGCCCUCAGAGACUGCGACGGGGAGGGAGCAGCCUUGUGAAAGAAACCCAUCCAUUCUGCUUACCUGCUCACCUGCCAGGAUGUGGGCUUCUAUGGUCGCCGGUCGCUGUCAGCAGAAGCUUUGAGCAACUCAAAGCUUGGAGCAGUGGCUACUGGGACCACACCAUAAAGGCCCUGCACAAAAGCUCUGUCAAGGCUGUUUGUCAGGCAGAAGAGGUAGAGAUGGGGACACAGCCACAAGAUGCCACUCUUCAGAGUCUCUGGACCUGGUGUGCUGUCCUUUCUUUCCUCCAAGUGCUCAAUUUAUAGGCUGGUGAUUCAGGAUGAAGAUGGCAUCAGGUCUUGCAGAGCUCAGGACAGUCAACACUCCUGUUACCACAGCCACAUUCAAGUAAGUCAUCAGACUCCACUGUCAACUGCUUUUCCACAGAUUUCUUUGCCACAUGGCCUCUAGCAGAUAUUUCUCCAAGCUUCAUGAGCAAAGCUGCCUUCUCUAGUUACAACCUGGCCUACCUAAAGGCCAGAGUCCCCAGUGUGUGUCUCAGACAGCACCAGUCCCUGAAGCCCAUAGUAAAUAUUAGCACUUGUCCCAUUCAUACACGUUACUCCAGCCUUUCAAAAGGAGCCUAUGAAACUCUUCCCAAACCUUAUCAAAGACCAACUCUUGGGCUGGCGGAUGAUGCAGUCAGUAAACGAACUUGCUG
rnacentral:lncRNA from 1 species